UACGAAGGGGGCUAGCGUUGUUCGGAAUUACUGGGCGUAAAGCGCACGUAGGCGGGUAUUUAAGUCAGGGGUGAAAUCCCAGAGCUCAACUCUGGAACUGCCUUUGAUACUGGGUACCUAGAGUAUGGAAGAGGUGAGUGGAAUUCCGAGUGUAGAGGUGAAAUUCGUAGAUAUUCGGAGGAACACCAGUGGCGAAGGCGGCUCACUGGUCCAUUACUGACGCUGAGGUGCGAAGGCGUGGGGAGCAAACAGG
rnacentral:rRNA from 1 species